CACUCCUACGGGAGGCAGCAGUGGGGAAUAUUGCACAAUGGGCGCAAGCCUGAUGCAGCCAUGCCGCGUGUAUGAAGAAGGCCUUCGGGUUGUAAAGUACUUUCAGCGGGGAGGAAGGCGAUAAGGUUAAUAACCUUGUUGAUUGACGUUACCCGCAGAAGAAGCACCGGCUAACUCCGUGCCAGCAGCCGCGGUAAUACGGAGGGUGCAAGCGUUAAUCGGAAUUACUGGGCGUAAAGCGCACGCAGGCGGUCUGUCAAGUCGGAUGUGAAAUCCCCGGGCUCAACCUGGGAACUGCAUUCGAAACUGGCAGGCUAGAGUCUUGUAGAGGGGGGUAGAAUUCCAGGUGUAGCGGUGAAAUGCGUAGAGAUCUGGAGGAAUACCGGUGGCGAAGGCGGCCCCCUGGACAAAGACUGACGCUCAGGUGCGAAAGCGUGGGGAGCAAACAGGAUUAGAUACCCGUGUAGUCCG
rnacentral:rRNA from 1 species